UACGUAGGCAGCGAGCGUUGUUCGGAAUUACUGGGCGUAAAGAGUGUGUAGGCGGUGCUCUAAGUUCGGUGUGAAAUCUCCUGCUUAACUGGGAGGGUGCGCCGGAAACUGGAGUGCUCGAGCGUGGGAGAGGAAAGCGGAAUUCCUGGUGUAGCGGUGAAAUGCGUAGAUAUCAGGAGGAACACCAAAGGCGAAGGCAGUGUCCUGGGGAGUACCUGACGCUCAGGUGCGAAAGCCAGGGGAGCGAACGGG
rnacentral:rRNA from 1 species